CGAGCGAACAGAUAAGGAGCUUGCUCCUUUGACGUUAGCGGCGGACGGGUGAGUAACACGUGGAUAACCUACCUAUAAGACUGGGAUAACUUCGGGAAACCGGAGCUAAUACCGGAUAACAUAUUGAACCGCAUGGUUCAAUAGUGAAAGGCGGCUUUGCUGUCACUUAUAGAUGGAUCCGCGCCGUAUUAGCUAGUUGGUAAGGUAACGGCUUACCAAGGCAACGAUACGUAGCCGACCUGAGAGGGUGAUCGGCCACACUGGAACUGAGACACGGUCCAGACUCCUACGGGAGGCAGCAGUAGGGAAUCUUCCGCAAUGGGCGAAAGCCUGACGGAGCAACGCCGCGUGAGUGAUGAAGGUCUUCGGAUCGUAAAACUCUGUUAUCAGGGAAGAACAAAUGUGUAAGUAACUGUGCACAUCUUGACGGUACCUGAUCAGAAAGCCACGGCUAACUACGUGCCAGCAGCCGCGGUAAUACGUAGGUGGCAAGCGUUAUCCGGAAUUAUUGGGCGUAAAGCGCGCGUAGGCGGUUUUUUAAGUCUGAUGUGAAAGCCCACGGCUCAACCGUGGAGGGUCAUUGGAAACUGAAAAACUUGAGUGCAGAAGAGGAAAGUGGAAUUCCAUGUGUAGCGGUGAAAUGCGCAGAGAUAUGGAGGAACACCAGUGGCGAAGGCGACUUUCUGGUCUGUAACUGACGCUGAUGUGCGAAAGCGUGAUCAAACAGGAUUAGAUACCCUGGUAGUCCACGCCGUAAACGAUGAGUGCUAAGUGUUAGGGGGGUUUCCGCCCCUUAGUGCUGCAGCUAACGCAUUAAGCACUCCGCCUGGGGAGUACGACCGCAAGGUUGAAACUC
rnacentral:rRNA from 1 species